rnacentral:rRNA from 1 species
GACGAACGCUGGCGGCGUGCUUAACACAUGCAAGUCGAACGGAAAGGCCCUGCUUUUGUGGGGUGCUCGAGUGGCGAACGGGUGAGUAACACGUGAGUAACCUGCCCUUGACUUUGGGAUAACUUCAGGAAACUGGGGCUAAUACCGGAUAGGAGCUCCUGCUGCAUGAUGGGGGUUGGAAAGUUUCGGCGGUUGGGGAUGGACUCGCGGCUUAUCAGCUUGUUGGUGGGGUAGUGGCUUACCAAGGCUUUGACGGGUAGCCGGCCUGAGAGGGUGACCGGCGACAUUGGGACUGAGAUACGGCCCAGACUCCUACGGGAGGCAGCAGUGGGGAAUAUUGCACAAUGGGCGGAAGCCUGAUGCAGCAACGCCGCGUGCGGGAUGACGGCCUUCGGGUUGUAAACCGCUUUCGCCUGUGACGAAGCGUGAGUGACGGUAAUGGGUAAAGAAGCACCGGCUAACUACGUG